GACGAACGCUGGCGGCGUGCCUAAUACAUGCAAGUAGAACGCUGAAGAGAGGAGCUUGCUCUUCUUGGAUGAGUUGCGAACGGGUGAGUAACGCGUAGGUAACCUGCCUUGUAGCGGGGGAUAACUAUUGGAAACGAUAGCUAAUACCGCAUAACAAUGGAUGACACAUGUCAUUUAUUUGAAAGGGGCAAUUGCUCCACUACAAGAUGGACCUGCGUUGUAUUAGCUAGUAGGUGAGGUAAUGGCUCACCUAGGCGACGAUACAUAGCCGACCUGAGAGGGUGAUCGGCCACACUGGGACUGAGACACGGCCCAGACUCCUACGGGAGGCAGCAGUAGGGAAUCUUCGGCAAUGGGGGCAACACUGACCGAGCAACGCCGCGUGAGUGAAGAAGGGUGUCGGAUCGUAAAGCUCUGUUGUAAGUCAAGAACGGGUGUGAGAGUGGAAAGUUCACACUGUGACGGUAGCUUACCAGAAAGGGACGGCUAACUACGUG
rnacentral:rRNA from 1 species